GAUGAACGCUGGCGGCGUGCCUAAUACAUGCAAGUCGAGCGAACAGACGAGGAGCUUGCUCCUCUGACGUUAGCGGCGGACGGGUGAGUAACACGUGGAUAACCUCCCUAUAAGACUGGGAUAACUUCGGGAAACCGGAGCUAAUACCGGAUAAUAUAUUGCACCGCAUGGUUCAUUAGUGAAUGACGGUUUUGCUGUCACUUAUCGAUGGUUCCGGGCCGCAUUAGCUAGUUGGUAAGGUCCCGGCCUACCUAGGUCACGAUGCGUAGCCGACCGGAGAGAGUGAUAGGCGGCACGGGAGCUGGGACACGCUCCAGGCUCCUGCGAGAGGCAGCAGAAGGCAACCUUCGGCAAUAGGCGGAAGCAUUACGGAACAACGCGGCGUGAGUGAAGACAAUCUUCGGAUCGUGAAAAUCUGUUAUUAGGGGAGAACAACUGUGUAAGUAACUGUGCAGUUAGUGACGGUACCUAAUCAGGAAGCCACGGCUAACUACGUG
rnacentral:rRNA from 1 species